rnacentral:rRNA from 1 species
UCAAAUCAGGUAGGACUA